CACGGAGGACAUGCAACAUUUUAAGUAUCUACAGCAUUCCACAGCCCUCAAAAUCGCCAUCUCUGCAGGUUACUCUGUGACACUCCUUUUGUGGCACAUAUCCUAGCACUUGGAGUUACAAAAGGACCUAUCCAGACAGCUUCAGGUUGCCAAGCACCCAGGCAAAGAGACUGCUGUUUGCAAGAUAUUACGUUAAUUUCAGAAGAACAAAAGGUUCAAAUCUGACUAUUCCAAGAAUAGCAACCCCUAGGCAGCCCAGGAUUGAGUAACCCGUUAGGGUGAAAUGGUCUGCCGGUAAGAGGCAAACACUGUCACGAAGAUAUUAAAUGGCACUGCAUCCGGUACUGAACAAAAAUUGAGUGGAAAUUGUGGAGACCUGUGCGAGGAAGGUUCCCUUGGGGAUGCCAACAUAACAACACAGAAAUAUGGCUGAAUGGAAGAGAAAACAAUGUAUGCCCAAUUUAGUGUAUCUCACCCUGCCUUUCUCACAUCAAAUGAGCACAAGGAAUUCUUAUCUUCACUGUUCUGAUGAGAAAAGGGAGGUUCUGGGUCCAUUCUGAGAGUUAUGAUCUGCAUCGAGGCUACCAGCUAACUACAAGCAAAACUGUGAUCCUCAUAAUCAAAGAAGAACAGUCUCCAAAGAAGUCAUUUAGGACUGGUGCUUCAUCAACUUCAGUGUGAUCUCUACUGGUGCAAUUUAAAUUAUGACAUAACAUCCUCUUACGUGUGGCCUCGGCAUAUUAAGAUACAAGGUUCUGCCAUACAUUUUCAAGGUUGAAAAAUCUUAAGAGUCUACAAUGAAUUCAAAUUCUACACUAAAAUGGGGCACGGGGAACUGUACAGGUCAUUCUUAUUGUUUUAGUUUAAGUAAAAUCAGCAAAAAAAAAAAAAAAAGAAAGAAAGAAAGAAGAAGAAGAAAGAAAACAUAUAAGCACAGAUUUUUAGAACUGCCACAUUAGAAUCAAUGUAGUCAAAAUUCUUUUCCUGCUCAUUAUAAGGAAGAAAACUACACUACCAAGCCUAAAAAAAAGAAAAAGAAAAAAUGGUUUCUUUCAUUCUUUUCAUUGUCUGCAAACCUCACUAGAUCAAUUGAGAAAGUGGGCAAUAAAAUAUAUUUUUUCUUGAAGGCAAAUCCUACAACAGAGAGAAAAAUCAUCUCCUUUUGCCAAAGGCACACACUAAUUGAAGCAGAAAUAAAACAUGGAAUAGAAAAGAGAUAAAAAUACAAAGUUAUGCCUUGGUCCAAUUAGUAGGUAGAGAGUUAAACAAAUUAUCAGUUCAAGGCAUUCACCAUUAAAAAUCAGAAGUAAAAUGGCUGUAAAGCAACAUGCACCUGGUCUUGAUAGUAGAAUCCAUAGCAAUUUCAAGAAAGUAAUAUUGUACAUCUGGAAGCGGUCCAAUGACAAAUGAGAACAAACCAAUAAAUCCAUAAAAGGAUCUUAGUAAAGCUUUUAUUUCAAAAAAUGUGUUUCCACUUUCUCAAUCUAAGCUAUAUUUUACAUAAAACUGUACUUCAUACUUUUUAGUAGACUAAUCUGGCCCCAAUAUAAAAUAAUUAAAGUUGCAUUAUUUCUCACUAUGCAUGUUUCAAACAGCCCCUAGACUUCAAAGUUAUAGAGCCCUCAUUAGCAAAUAAAUAGAAAUAACACCCAUAGUAAUAUUUUGUUAAGUUUUUCAUACCACGAUCUUCAAGGACCUCAGAGAACAUCUACACUAUUAAUAAGUCAAUGUUUCCUCACUGUGAAGGGAGGAAAAUAUUACUCUUGAAUACUCUAGAAACUCAGUUCUUUACUAUUCAAAUGUGUGUUCAUAUUUAACAAACGCAGGGGUCGGGGGAAGAACAGUGAGCUCUAAAAUCUCUUUCAGCUUCUGGCCAGAAAAACCAUAGCUCCAUAGGAACAGAUUUUAAAAAGACAAGAAUUAUAGUUAAUAUAAUUACAGUAAACUAUAGUGCCACCCUAAACAGAGAAUUUCAAAAAACUGAUGACAUUGUAAAGCAUAAUUAUAACCAACCCCCAAAAAUGAUUCAGAAAUAAGUACCAGAAAAAUACAAAAUUUAUGGUUAUUAGAAGGUUUCCCCAACAUGUAAGACUUUAGGACAAUGUUGUACUCAAACCAUGUUAUCAGAGCUACCACUAAGGCUGAGAGCAUAAACAAUAAAUAAAUAUUUCAAUACUUCU